UUGAGACCCACGUUGAAAGUGAGAGGAUGACAAGCAAGGAAAGGACCAGGAAGUAUAGGUAGAGGCUAAAUAAAGAUCCUGAUAGGAGGGAGAACAUCCUGAGAAAGAGAUGCAGAAAAUAUCGGGAGAAGAAAGCAUGUGGGAAACUUGUUCAGCUUAGUGUGAAGUCUGUGUCGCCAGCAACCAGGAAGAAG